rnacentral:misc_RNA from 1 species
AACUUUUAACAACGGAUCACUUGGCUCUCGCAUCGAUGAAGAACGCAGCGAAAUGCGAUAAGUAAUGUGAAUUGCAGAAUUAAGUGAAUCAUCGAAUCUUUGAACGCACCUUGCACCCUUUGGUAUUCCGAAGGGUAUGCUCGUUUGAGUGUCAUUGUACUCUCACACUCUCUGAUCCUUUGGAUUCAGGGAGCGGUGGACUUGGGUGUUUGCUGCUUUCCUAGUGGCUCACCUCAAAUGCGUCAGUGCACCUCUUGGUUGGACAUAGUACGGCGUGAUAAGUAUCUUCGCCGGCACCUCGCGAGAGGGUGGCUGAUCGGGAGCUCUGUGCUUUCAAACCGUCUUCGGACAAUCUCUGACAACUUGACCUCAAAUCGAGUAGGACUACCCGCUGAACUUAAGCAUAUCAAUAAGCGGAGGCU